GAUGAAGAACGUAGCGAAAUGCGAUAAGUAAUGUGAAUUGCAGAAUUCAGUGAAUCAUCGAAUCUUUGAACGCACAUUGCGCCCGCCAGUAUUCUGGCGGGCAUGCCUGUCCGAGCGUCAUUCCAACCCUCGAACCCCUCCGGGGGGUCGGCGUUGGGGAUCGGCACUUACCUGCCGGCCCCGAAAUACAGUGGCGGUCUCGCCGCAGCCUCUCCUGCGCAGUAGUUUGCACACUCGCACCGGGAGCGCGGCGCGUCCACGGCCGUAAAACAACCCAAACUUCUGAAAUGUUGACCUCGGAUCAGGUAGGAAUACCCGCUGAACUUAAGCAUAUCAAUAAGCGGAGGA
rnacentral:misc_RNA from 1 species